rnacentral:lncRNA from 1 species
GGCAUGUGACCUCAAUCACAAAAGGACCUACCCUGGGCUGAAGGGGAGCUCACCUUCCUGAAGGAUAGGACACAAGCCUGGCUGGAUUCACCACCUGCUGACUGAAGAGCCUUUGGGCCUUGAGUGAACCUCGGCAGUAACCAAGCAAUGGUCACAGUGGGCCUUGUGCAAGACCCAGAGCUAUGCUGGCUUUGGGCCUGGACCCAGUGCAUUUCCAGGGGUGGUGGACACAGGGGUGCUUGUGUCACCCUUCCCCUACCUAGCUCCAUGCAGCUCAGUAUGGAAAGAGACACUGUUUGUUUGGGAGAAAGUAAGUGAAGAGAACAAGAGUCUCUGUCUGGUAAUUCAGGAAAUUCUCCCAGAAGUUUCAAAAGACCACCAAUGUGGCAACACAGCAUUACUGGACUUGGGGUGACCCCUAGUGUGGAUAUGGCAGUGACCAAAGAUUUAUAUCAUAACACUCAAUUCUCUUUGAAUACUUGGAAGACCUUCCCAAGAAGAUUGGAUACAAAUAAGACAAGACUGCAAAGACUGCAGUUAAUACAUAACUCUUCAAUGCUUGGGCAUUGACAAAUACUCACAAGCACCAGUACCAUCCAGGAAAACAUGAGCUCCCCAAACAAACUACACGAGGCACCAGUGACCAAUGCCAGAGUGACAAAUAUGUGACCUUUCCAACAGAGAAUUCAAAAUAGCUGUUUUGAGGAGGCUCAACCAAAUUCAAGAUAACACAGAGAAGAAAUUCAGAAUCUUAUCAGAUACAUUUUUACAGAGAUUGAAAUAGUUUUUUAAAAUGGAACAGAAAUUCUGAAGCUUAAAAAUGCAAUUGACAUGCAGAAGAAAGCAUCAGAGUCCUCCAACCAUUGAAUUGAUCAAGGAGGAGAAAGAAUUAGUGAACUUGAAGACAGGUAUUUGAAAAUACAUAGAAGAGUCAACAGAGAAAAGAGUAAGAAAGAAUGAAGCACACUGACAAGUUCUAAAAAAUAACCUCAAAAGGGCAAAUCUAAGGGUUAUUGGCCUUAAAGAGAAGGUAGAGAAAGAGAUAGAGGUAGAAGGUUUAUUCAAAGGGAUAAUAACAGAGAACUUCCCUUAUCUACAGAAAUAUAUCAAUAUCCAAGUACAAGAAGGUUAGAGACCACCAAGAUGAUUUAACCCAAAGAACAUUACCUCAAGGCAUUUAAUAAUCAAACUCCCAAAGAUCAAGGAUUAAAAAAGGACCAUAAAACCAGCAAGAGAAAGGAAACAAAUAGCAUAGAAAAGAUCUCUAAUACAUCUGGCAGCAGGCUUCUCAGUGGAAACCUUACAGGCCAGGAGAGAAUGGCAUGACACAUUUAAAAUGGUGAAG